AAAACGCUGAAGAAUUUCGCUUUGUGUGGCAAGAACAUCUGAAAGGGCUUGAUUGCCAUCAUUUCAAACUGAUGACCACAUUCAAGAAGACUAAGGUUGGAAUGAAAACUAGUGACCUUGAGGGAACAGCUGGGUAUCACAGAGGGACAUCACUGCUGGAGAUCAUUGCCCACAGACUUACAGUCUCUGAGACAAUCGAGAGAACAUAAAGGCCAGCAUAUAGCAUGCAAUGAUGCAACACGGCACCACAGAAUCUACAGGCCAAGAAGUACAAAGUGAUGUGCAUUGUGAAGCCACCACAAUGAUGCAUCAAGAUAUGGACGGACUAUUAGGGAUAUCCUGAUCACAUUGUGCUGAAAAAAAGAGGAACUACUAUCACUACGACAUUCUGUUCAAUGGAACGUCAACAUUACUGCUUCACCCUUGUAUGGCUGAAUCUAUCUGAUGAAAAGGGAAAAGGAAUGAUGUCUUCACGGGCAACAUCUUGCGCAAGGAAACAUUCCUCAUUUCUGCAAUCAAUACUUCCGCUGUUGUAUGGUCCAUCUGUGGCCUCACCUCCUCACGUGUGCUGCCCCCGUAGGUUGCUCUUUCAAGGAUACAACAUCCGGAUCGAUCAUACAUCCUAACUACUAUCAGAUUAUGCCAAGAUGGCUGAGC